rnacentral:rRNA from 1 species
UACGGGGGGGGCAAGCGUUGUUCGGAAUUACUGGGCGUAAAGGGCUCGUAGGUGGCCAACUAAGUCAGACGUGAAAUCCCUCGGCUUAACCGGGGAACUGCGUCUGAUACUGGAUGGCUUGAGUUCGGGAGAGGGAUGCGGAAUUCCAGGUGUAGCGGUGAAAUGCGUAGAUAUCAGGAGGAACCCCGGUGGCGAAGGCGGGUCUCUGGGCCGAUACUGACGCUGAGGAGCGAAAGCGUGGGGAGCGAACAGG